ACGCGCGCCGUGAAGGCGCGGCCGCACGAUCCACGCUUCCGCCUGGUGCAUAUGUUCAACCGCCAGUUCCUCGACACCGUC
rnacentral:SRP_RNA from 1 species